GAUGAAGAACGUAGCGAAAUGCGAUAAGUAAUGCGAAUUGCAGAAUUCCAGUGAGUCAUCGAAUCUUUGAACGCACAUUGCGCCCUUUGGUAUUCCGAAGGGCAUGCCUGUUCGAGCGUCAUUAUCACCCCUCAAGCCCUCGGAUUGGUGUUGGACGGUUUGGUGGAGGCCCCCUCGGGGGCUCCUGCCCCUCCCAAAGACAAUGACGGCGGCCUCGUUGGACCCCCGGUACACUGAGUUCUUCACGGGACACGUAUCGGACACAUGGGUUUACGGGACACGGUCUGCCUCCCCUCAGGGAGAAUCUUUCUAAGGUUGACCUCGGAUCAGGUAGGGAUACCCGCUGAACUUAAGCAUAUCAAUAAGCGGAGGA
rnacentral:misc_RNA from 1 species